rnacentral:rRNA from 1 species
UACGGAGGGAGCAAGCGUUGUUCGGAUUUACUGGGCGUAAAGGGCGCGUAGGCGGUCAGCACAAGUCAGUUGUGAAAUCUCCGGGCUUAACUCGGAAAGGUCAACUGAUACUGUGCGACUAGAGUGCAGAAGGGGCAACUGGAAUUCUCGGUGUAGCGGUGAAAUGCGUAGAUAUCGAGAGGAACACCUGCGGCGAAGGCGGGUUGCUGGGCUGACACUGACGCUGAUGCGCGAAAGCCAGGGGAGCGAACGGG